rnacentral:rRNA from 1 species
CCGCAGUGAAUAGGCCCAAGCGACUGUUUAUCAAAAACACAGGUCUCUGCUAAACCGUAAGGUGAUGUAUAGGGGCUGACGCCUGCCCGGUGCUGGAAGGUUAAGAGGAGUAGUUAGCUUCUGCGAAGCUACGAAUCGAAGCCCCAGUAAACGGCGGCCGUAACUAUAACGGUCCUAAGGUAGCGAAAUUCCUUGUCGGGUAAGUUCCGACCCGCACGAAAGG